UACGGAGGAUCCAAGCGUUAUCCGGAUUUAUUGGGUUUAAAGGGUGCGUAAGUGGCCUGUUAAGUCAGGGGUGAAAGACGGUAGCUCAACUAUCGCAGUGCCCUUGAUACUGAUGGGCUUGAAUGAACUAGAGGUAGGCGGAAUGUGACAAGUAGCGGUGAAAUGCAUAGAUAUGUCACAGAACACCAAUUGCGAAGGCAGCUUACUAUGGUUUGAUUGACACUGAGGCACGAAAGCGUGGGGAUCAAACAGG
rnacentral:rRNA from 1 species